GACGAACGCUGGCGGUGUGCUUAACACAUGCAAGUCGAACGGUAAGGUCCUUUCGGGGGUACACGGGUGGCGAACGGGGGCGUAACACGUGAGUAACCUGCCCUCAUCUCUGGGAUAACAGUCGUAAACGGUUGCUAAUACUGGAUAGGAGCUUGCAAGCCCUCUUGGGGCUUGGAAAGAUUUUUUUUGGUUUGGGAUGGACGCGCGGCCUAUCAGCUUGUUGGUAGGGUAUUGGCUCACCAAGGCAUCGACGGGUAGCCGGCCGGUGAGGGCGACCGGCCACAAUGGGACUGAGAUACGGCCCAAACACCUACGGGAGGCAGGAGGGGGGAAUAUUGCACAAUGGACGGAAGUCUGAUGCAGCACCGCCGCGUGCGGGAUGACGGACUUCGGGUUGUAGACCGCUUAAAACUGUGACGAAGCUUUUUUGUGACGGUAGCAGUAGAAGAAGCACCGGCUAACUACGUG
rnacentral:rRNA from 1 species